rnacentral:rRNA from 1 species
CAGUGUCAGGAGAACGGUCUGGAAAGUCCGGCAGUAAAGGGUGAUAGCCCCGUAUCUGAAGAUGCUGUUAUUGUGAACUCGACGAGUAGGGCGGGACACGUGUUAUCCUGUCUGAAUAUGGGGGGACCAUCCUCCAAGGCUAAAUACUCCUGAUUGACCGAUAGUGAACCAGUACCGUGAGGGAAAGGCGAAAAGAACCCCGGCGAGGGGAGUGAAAAAGAACCUGAAACCGUGUACGUACAAGCAGUAGGAGCC